UUCGAGGGCGGGCCGUGGCAAGGAGACCUUCUGGGUCUGCCGGUGAUGGUGUUCGACCGGGCUGCCAACCUUGUUACUGUGCCCGCUCACCAC
rnacentral:antisense_RNA from 1 species